CAACAGUACGUGAAACCGCAUAGAGGUAAACGGGUGGAUCCGCAAAGUCGGCCCGCGGAAUUCAGCUCGGAAGGCUGCGCGCCUGCCGCCGGGUAGGAGAUCGCAAGACUCUCCUGGCGUGGGACGCGUGCCGGCCGUGUGCACUUUCCGUGGGCAGAGCGCCACGACCGGUUUCUGGGCGGUCAGAAGGCGGCGAGGAUGGUAGGCGCGCGCCUCGGUGCGCGCUGGUAUAGCCUCGCCUGUCCCGAUCCGCCUGGGGACCGAGGAGCCGCCGUGGGCUGGGGCCGCCUCGCCCUCCCGGGACGUUCGACUGGCAGAGACUGGGUGACCGUGUCUGCCGACCGCUUCCUGGGACGGACUGGGGUGGGCCCGCCCUCACAGGGUCAGUGGCGAAUCGGUCGGCCCUCCACCCGACCCGUCUUGAAACACGGACCAAGGAGUCUAACAUGCGCGCGAGUCGUUGGGUCGUACGAAACCCGAAGGCGAAGUGAAAGCGAGGGCCGUCUCUGACGUGCUCAGGUGGGAUCCUGGUCCCUCUGCGGGCUGGGCGCACCACCGGCCCGUCUCGUCCGCGCCGU
rnacentral:rRNA from 1 species